rnacentral:ncRNA from 4 species
UCCGUAGGUGGAACCUGCGGAAGGAUCAUUA